rnacentral:lncRNA from 1 species
UGGAAUAUAGUGUCCAACAUUUGAUUCUCUGGUAAUAUAAAAGUCAUUCUUAACCAAUUGAGGGUGUUCCUUAAAAAUGCCUGUAAUAAUUUAAAAAAAAAACUCAAGUUAAUGUCAUAUAAUUUAUACACGUUAUGUGAUUCAUAUCUUGAUCAUUUUCUGUAAUGCUUAUAGGAAAAAUGAUAUUUUAUAUACCUGCAAAAAAGCGUAUAAGUCAUUGCUAACACUAGUUCCAUCAGUAGGAAUAUCACCUUCAUCAGAACUUUAGCUAAAACCUGUCCCAAUAGGUUGAUCAAAAAUAGUAUUUGAUCCAUGCAAAGCCAGAAAAACACCUUAGUAAUGAUGUUAAUAAAUAAAGAGGCUUUAGAGGUAUCAAAAUUUUAAUACGUGCAAUCAUAACAAUAUCAGAGUUCCAUGGAAAGGACCAUCAUAAACUCAUGAGAUAAUCAAAAUAAAGACAUUUCAUAUGAAUAAAAUGCUUAUACCUUGUCCCAGCCAUAACCUCAAAUGCAGUACUUCCAAGACCUGCAUCUUACAAACACAACAGCGCGAAUGAAGAGAUUCUGUCCCGAGGACCUGCAUCUUCCAAGGACCUCAUCACAUCAUUAUCAAGUCCAAAUAACAACUUCUGUCCCGACAACACGGUUACCGUUGCCAAUGAAGAGAUUCAAGAUUUGUCAUUCGGGUUUGUUCUCUCUUGAUCUUGAUGGAAAGAUCCUGAACAAGCAUUAUGAUGUAACCGAACAUGUUGCAUCAUCGUGCCGAAACAGAAGCAUAGACCAAGUGAAGCCUUGUAGCACCAG